GUGCCAGCAGCCGCGGUAAUACGAAGGUUGCAAGCGUUACUCGGAAUUACUAGGCGUAAAGGGCAGGUAGGUGGUUUGGUAAGUCUAUUGUGAAAGCUCCCGGCUUAACUGGGAGAGGCCAAUGGAUACUGCCAAGCUUGAGUAUAGGAGAGGUUACUGGAAUUCCCGGUGUAGCGGUGAAAUGCGCAGAUAUCGGGAGGAACACCAAUGGCGAAAGCAGGUAACUGGACUAUUACUGACACUCAACUGCGAAAGCUAGGGGAGCAAACAGGAUUAGAUACCCUGGUAGUCC
rnacentral:rRNA from 1 species